rnacentral:rRNA from 1 species
GACGAACGCUGGCGGCGUGCUUAACACAUGCAAGUCGAACGGAAAGGCCCCUUCGGGGGUACUCGCGUGGCGAACGGGUGAGUAACACGUGAGUAACCUGCCCUUGACUUCGGGAUAACUUCAGGCAACUGGGGCUAAUACCGGAUAGGAAUCCUUGCUGCAUGGUGGGGGUUGGAAAGCUUCGGCGGUUUGGGAUGGACUCGCGGCCUAUCAGGUUGGUGGUGGGGGAGUGGCUUACCAAGGCAUUGACGGGUAGGCGGCCUGGGAGGGCGACCGGCCACAUUGGGGCUGGGAUACGGCCCAGACUCCUACCGGGGGCAGGAGUGGGGAAUAUUGCACAAUGGGGCGGAGCCUGAUUCAGCAACGCCGCGGGCGGGAUGACGGCCUUCGGGUUGUAAACCGCUUUCAGCAGGUGCGAAGCUUGUGGUGACGGUACCGGCAGAAGAAGCACCGGCUAACUACGUG